CACUCAGUCUCCAUUUCUUCCAUGUUUUUCCCAACUCUGUUCACUCGUUCCUCCUCUGACCUGUUCACUCUCUCCACCUGUUUGGUUUUACACGUCUCAUUUCUCACUAAUCUCUUUGUGGCUUUUCUACAUUUUAUCCCUCCUUUCUUUUUCCCCUCUAGAGUUGAUCUGCCACACCUGUGUGAGUGCGUGUGAGUGAGUGUGUGUUGUGUCACCACCAGCAGCCUCUCCAGCAAACAUCCUGUCUGACCUGAUCGCUGCAUCAGUCACUGAAGUGAAGUGAGGCUUCCUCUUCAAAAGCCACCCCCCUCAUCGCAGGCGACUCCAGCCAAUCACAGGCUUUGUUUACUGAGGUUGCUGGGACAACAGGAGGAAUAUGUGCCCCAUGCCAGGCUGACCUUGGGACACUUUUUCUCUCCGAUCACCAAUCACUCCGGCAUGUGUGUGUCUCACCCCGUCUGUCUUUUUAUUUCGAUACCAAUUGUUCUUUGUUAAAUAACAAAAGUGAACAAUGUUGCCAAAUCAGUUUCAGCUGAAACUUUUCCUGAACCUGGUAUCUGUCAGGGUUUUACCGUGUUCACAGUCUUCACGCAGGACAAUCUCUGCUUAUGUAAUAUGUAUUAAACCAGCUGACGAAC